ensembl:lncRNA
CUUCAGCAAAUCCAACUAGUCUUUUUCUUUUGUACACCUGAGUGUGUCCAUGCGACGGUGAAGUGUCACCAGUGACUCUGGCCAAGCAGGUGGGCGCUGAGAGAGGCCCACCUCCCUUUUCCCUGCCUGCCACAAGCCUGCAGGCGGGGGCGUCUCUCCUGGGAGGACAGUGCCGCCCACCGCCCGGGACAGAGGCUCUGGGGCUCUCACGGCUUGCUGGGGCAGACGGCUGGCAGCGUUAUUCUCCCAGCCCCGCUCUGAGGGCCAGGCCCAGGCCACCCCUGGCGGAGGAGCCCUCCGGAGGCGUCCUGAGCAAGGGGCUCACGGAACUCUCUCCAGCUGGGAGGGCCUCCGUCCGGCAGGCCUGGGCCUGGAGGGGCUGGACCCCGUCAUGGCCUGGGCUGGGCAAGGCUGCUGCAGGGUGGCCCUCUCAGCCUCCGCUAACCCACCUAGCCUCUUGCUGACAGUGCCAUCAUCCUCACCUGUCCCUCUUUCCAAAUCUCUCAGACGGCCCUUCCAAACAGGUGUCCUCCAAACCUGUGAGCCUGGGAAUUUUGGUACAGGUUCACCUCAUCUCACAUAAUUGCCAGGGAGCAGCAUCUUCAAAUGAAAUCCUACCCAGAGGCUGAGUGGACAAGUCAAGGGAGAGGGGGCAGCUCCAGUUGAAUCAGGUGGAGAACCCAGGUGGAGAAGGUCCACCCGCCUGACGCCUCAUGCAGCCAGCUUCCUGCGUUCCCCCUUGAAGACCCUAACACGUUCAUGGAAUCCUCAGGUUGAAGACCAUCGCUGUCAAAGUGCCAAGAGCAUGCCCUCUUACCUGUAGUUCCACCUCCAAGACUCCAAAUACUCCCAGCUGAGUACACACAUUCAACACGGCUUUGUUUGUGACAGCAACUUAUAAAAAUGAAAACCAUUUAGUCCCCUGCCCUCUAUAUUGUCAGUGGAGAACAUAGGAAGAAGCUAGACCUCGCCCACUGCUUGGCAGGAAGAGUGCCUCCCUCCGCCUCCCAGCGGGGCAGCACCAUAGAAGGCUAGUGGUGCUGGGAUUCCCACGCUAGACCAGCAGUGAAUGGAGCUCCUCUCCCCUCGGGUGUCAACAAAGGCCAAGGGCAGGUCCUGAACUUCCACCUCUGCCUGGCAGGGGAGGUGCUGUGUCCCCCCUCUGCUGCCUUUUGUUGCAGGAUCAAUCUCAGAAAAAGCCAGCUAAAAUAUAAGUUUUCAAUAGGAUCCAGAUUCUCACAGCAUAAUACCCAAAGUGUCCAGGUUUCAGUUGGAAAUCACUCACCAUUGGAGCUAGGAAAAACCUCAACUUGAAUGAAAAAAGAAAAUCAUUACAUGCCAAUACUGAGAUGACAGAGACGUUGGAAUUAUCUGAUAAGGAUAAAAUGCCUCAAAGAGCAAUUAUAAGCACACUUGAAAAAUAGAAACUCUGUAUCACACGAUCCUGAAGUCUCACUCCUGGGCAUAUUUCCAAAGAAAAUUCUAAUUCAAAAAGAUACAUGCACUCCAAUGUUCAGAGCAGCACUAUUUUCAAG